GGCUCGAUAGCUCAGCUGGUAGAGCAGAGGACUGAAAAUCCUCGUGUCGGCGGUUCGAUUCCGUCUCGAGCCACCA
rnacentral:tRNA from 13 species